UACCUGGUUGAUCCUGCCAGUAGUCAUAUGCGUUGUGCUCAAAGACUAAGCCAUGCAUGUCUAAGUAUAAGUUUUAUACAGCGAAACUGCGAAUGGCUCAUUAAAACAGUUAUAGUUUACUUGAUAAUUACUCUUACAUGGAUACUCGUGGUAAUUCUAGAGCUAAUACAUGCUGAUUUGCCCGACUUUUUGGAAGGGCGGUAUUUAUUAGAUAACAACCAAUAUUCCUUGUGUCUAUUGUGGUGACUCAUAAUAACUGAUCGAAUCGCACGGCUAUUGCCGCGAUAAAUCAUUCAAGUUUCUGCCCCAUCAGCUGUCGAUGGUAGUGUAUUGGACUACCAUGGCAAUAACGGGUAACGGAGGAUUAGGGUUCGAUUCCGGAGAGGGAGCCUGAGAAACGGCUACCACAUCUAAGGAUGGCAGCAGGCGCGUAAAUUACCCAAUUCUGAUUCAGAGAGGUAGUGACAAGAAAUAACAGACCGAUACUAUGUAACGGGGUUGCAAUGAGCCGAAUUUUUCUUCCCUUGGUGAGGAGCAAUUGGAGGGCAAGUCUGGUGCCAGCAGCCGCGGUAAUUCCAGCUCCAAUAGC
rnacentral:rRNA from 1 species